GGCCACUCAGCAUGUCUGAUAUGAGAUCGUGAUUAGAAAAUGGACAGGUCUGAUAUGGCAACUUCAAAACCAUACUAUAAUCCUCGACAUGAAUGAUUUCACUACUUAUGAGUGUGGUUAUCACAUCUUGCCAAUAAUUAUCUUCCUCAAUCAAAAAGUCUAUUAGCUCACGCAAGGUAUCCAUCUAAAAAAAAGGGACAACAAUUUAUGAUUACAUUUAUGCAAUCAAGCCAAUGGUGCUACAGACUGCCUAAGUUAAUUAAUU
rnacentral:lncRNA from 1 species